AUUGAACGCUGGCGGCAGGCCUAACACAUGCAAGUCGAACGAGUGGCGGACGGGUGAGUAAUGUCUGGGAAACUGCCUGAUGGAGGGGGAUAACUACUGGAAACGGUAGCUAAUACCGCAUACCCUCGGAUGUGCCCAGAUGGGAUUAGCUAGUAGGUGGGGUAACGGCUCACCGAGGCGACGAUCCCUAGCUGGUCUGAGAGGAGGACCGGCCACACUGGAACUGAGACACGGCCCAGACUCCUACGGUAGGCAGCAGUGGGGAAUAUUGAGCAAUGGGCGCAAGCCUGAUGCAGCCAGGCCGCGUGUAUGAAGAAGGUCUUCGGGUUGUAAAGUACUUUCAGCGGGGAGGCGUUACCAACAGAAGAAGCACCGGCUAACUUCGUGCCAGCAGCCGCGGUAAUAC
rnacentral:rRNA from 1 species